CUACGUGGAACAAUUGGGCUGCCCCUCCAUCAUCAAACCCAGCUUCCGUGAUCUCGGCCCCGGCUGCACAAGGCUGUCAGCAGUCGGCUUUCCAUCCACCUCCUACCGCCAAUUCCCAUUAGAUAAAUUGAAUAAGACAAUAAUGGGGAAGUCGCCUCCAGCCGCCGCAACCACUGCCACCGGUUCAAAACGAUUUUCUGUGAACCGAGGAGACAAAUUCAUGUCUCAUCCGGUAAAGGUGAACGCCAAAAUCCGGCACAUCUACUCCCACAUCACGAGCACGAUGAGCGAGUCGUCAACUAAUUCUCAC